CUUGACCGAGCCGAGCCACAGCGGCCUGCCCGCGGGGCGGUCCUGGCCGUAGGUGGCCAGGAGUGCCUGGGCCUC
rnacentral:antisense_RNA from 1 species